rnacentral:RNase_P_RNA from 1 species
GGGUGACCCGCGGGACAGUGCCACAGAAAACAGACCGCCGUCCGGUCCACCGGACGGUAAGGGUGAAACGGUGGUGUAAGAGACCACCAGCGCUGCAGGUGACUGCGGCGGCUAGGUAAACCCCACCUGGAGCAAGGUCAAGAGGCGCCGGUUUCGACUGGCGCUGCGCAGGCGCUCGAGGACGGCCCGUCCGAGCCUGCGGGUAGACCGCAUGAGGUCGUCGGCAACGGCGGCCCCAGAUGGAUGGUCGCCCCGUGUGCCGCAGGGCGCACGGACAGAACCCGGCUUACAGGCCAACUCGCUCG